GCCCCUCCCCGCUUCCGACCCAGUCUCCCCUCCUCGCGCGCAGGUCGCAUGUCCUCUCUGCCGCCGCCGCCGCCGCCCGCACUCCCCCUCUCGCGCGGGUCGCGGCUCAUGUCCGCCUCUCCCUGUUGCCGCCCCCCUUGCUUUCCCCCGCAUCGCUGGUAGCAUGUCGUCUCCGCCGCCACCGCCACCGCCUUUCCUUUCGCUCUCGUUUGGCUCUCCGAUCCCCGCCGCCGCGCCCCUCCCUCCCCUCGGCCGUGCUGCUGGCCCUUCCACGCCGCCCAGCUCCCUGUCGAUCGAAGCAGAUGAUCAUUGCGACGUUGAUGGGUCCUUAGAAUUCUUCCCCCAAUCCACACCAUGGUGUGCCACCUCGCCCGAGGGCACCCUGGGAUGCGCCGUGCUUCCUCACCACAGGCAAAGGUCCAUCACCAGCUUAGACCUCAACUCGCAGGCGGGUGAAUUCCCCUACUUAGCGGAGUACCAGAAUAUUCUUGAAUCACCAGAGUUGGAUGCUGAGUUUGCCGGUGGGAAUCGGAGCUCUGACAGUAGCCGUGGUGGAGAUACAGCUGGUAAUGGCCGUAAUGGCCAUGUGGCGCUGCUAGGUGGUCCGGUGGAGAUGCAGCGGGGAAGUCCGUGGCGCCGUUCCAUGCGCCUCACACAGCUGGAGUGCAUACCAGAGGGGCUCGUGGAGGUUCCACAUCCGCCUCGAGGAGUAUUCGAACUCCUCGAGCUGCUGCCGGUGCUAAAGGGAGUGGAGGCCCUCGGGAGCAAACCAAUGCAGAGGAUGACGAUGAAGCUUCUGGGACUGAUAUGAUGGGUGAUGACUUUGAUAAGGCAAACUGGACUUCAGACAAUACUUUUGUUUUCUGUGACCUAUGGAUUGAUGAAAUGAUGGGAAUUGCAACAAAGGAAUCAUGACCAGCAGAGGGUACAAGAAUUUACUUAUGAGGUACCAUUCAAGCACUGGCCUUCAACAUCGUAGAAAACAAUUGAGAAACAGAUGGGAUCAGCUGAAAGGUUUAUACCAGUUUUGGAAGUAUAUCAACUUAAGGUCUGGAUUCGGACGUAGCUACAACAGUGUUGUAGCUGAUGACCAAUUUUGGAAAGAUCAUACCAAGAACAAAUCUAAAUGGAAGAAAUUACGGCAUGGUCCUCCAGAAAACUUGGAUCAACUUGAACAGAUUUUUCAGCAUGUGGCUGUUGAUGGUUCAUCCUCUAGCAUUCUGGGCGAAAACAUCGGAGGUGAAGAUGAGUACGACGAAGAUGAUGGGAGCCCCAUAAGUGACAAUACCAGGAAGAGGGCUACUAGUACCACUGCCACUAGUCCAACAAAGAAGACAAAAAGCCCAAUGGUGAAGAUUAUGAAGGGAUUACUGGAUAGUAUGAAAGCUUAUUCAGAUGCUACACAAAAGACUUUGCAGAACAUGGCUACAAGAAAGGAGGAGCUUAUGGAUGAAUCCAUGAAGAAAGCACAAGCAUUAAUUGGCCGUGCAGUGUGGUGCAACAGAAGAUAGUAUAGAGUAUUUCAUGGCUGUGCAAUUGUUCACCAAGGUAGAAAAUCGCCAGAUUUUCUUUAACAUAAGCACAGAUGAAGGAAGGUUUUUAUUCUUGCAGAGGUGGUGCCAUCAAAAGAACAUGUACUAGGCUGAGAACUGUGUUUGAACUGGUUUGUUUAUGUCAUUGUGAACUGCAGCAAGGCUGAGAACCAUGUUUAAACCGUGUUUAAGUGCAGCAUGUCGUUGUGAACUACAUGUUAUAUUGUUGUGUCUUGAACUCAUAUGCAACAUGUUAUAUUAUUGUGUCUUGAACUACAUUUUAUAUUAUUGUGCCUUGAACUCACAUGAGUGUGUUGGCUGACAUGACAUUUUAUGUGUAGAUGGAAUCUUCUUCUAGUGAUGAUGAGGAGCAAAAUAUUGAGCUUGUAUUGUUGGAUCAUCAGAGAAGGAAGCGCCGCGAUCGACGGGACCCAUAUGCCAGUUGUAGUGCCAGCUAACAAGGUGGGCCAAUAUGUGGGUCGUCAUGGAUACUCAUCUCAGAAUGUGCUUGCUAUAUGCGACUUUGACAUGAGGUUUACAUUUGCUGUCGCGGG